GGGUUGUGAGGUUAAGCGACUAAGCGUACACGGUGGAUGCCCUGGCAGUCAGAGGCGAUGAAGGACGUGCUAAUCUGCGAUAAGCGUCGGUGAGGUGAUAUGAACCGUUAUAACCGGCGAUUUCCGAAUGGGGAAACCCAGUGUGUUUCGACACACUAUCAUUAACUGAAUCCAUAGGUUAAUGAGGCGAACCGGGGGAACUGAAACAUCUAAGUACCCCGAGGAAAAGAAAUCAACCGAGAUUCCCCCAGUAGCGGCGAGCGAACGGGGAGGAGCCCAGAGCCUGAAUCAGUGUGUGUGUUAGUGGAAGCGUCUGGAAAGGCGUGCGAUACAGGGUGACAGCCCCGUACACAAAAAUGCACAUAUUGUGAGCUCGAUGAGUAGGGCGGGACACGUGGUAUCCUGUCUGAAUAUGGGGGGACCAUCCUCCAAGGCUAAAUACUCCUGACUGACCGAUAGUGAACCAGUACCGUGAGGGAAAGGCGAAAAGAACCCCGGCGAGGGGAGUGAAAAAGAACCUGAAACCGUGUACGUACAAGCAGUGGGAGCCUCUUAAUGGGGUGACUGCGUACCUUUUGUAUAAUGGGUCAGCGACUUAUAUUCUGUAGCAAGGUUAACCGAAUAGGGGAGCCGAAGGGAAACCGAGUCUUAACUGGGCGUUAAGUUGCAGGGUAUAGACCCGAAACCCGGUGAUCUAGCCAUGGGCAGGUUGAAGGUUGGGUAACACUAACUGGAGGACCGAACCGACUAAUGUUGAAAAAUUAGCGGAUGACUUGUGGCUGGGGGUGAAAGGCCAAUCAAACCGGGAGAUAGCUGGUUCUCCCCGAAAGCUAUUUAGGUAGCGCCUCGUGAAUUCAUCUCCGGGGGUAGAGCACUGUUUCGGCAAGGGGGUCAUCCCGACUUACCAACCCGAUGCAAACUGCGAAUACCGGAGAAUGUUAUCACGGGAGACACACGGCGGGUGCUAACGUCCGUCGUGAAGAGGGAAACAACCCAGACCGCCAGCUAAGGUCCCAAAGUCAUGGUUAAGUGGGAAACGAUGUGGGAAGGCCCAGACAGCCAGGAUGUUGGCUUAGAAGCAGCCAUCAUUUAAAGAAAGCGUAAUAGCUCACUGGUCGAGUCGGCCUGCGCGGAAGAUGUAACGGGGCUAAACCAUGCACCGAAGCUGCGGCAGCGACACUAUGUGUUGUUGGGUAGGGGAGCGUUCUGUAAGCCUGUGAAGGUGGCCUGUGAGGGUUGCUGGAGGUAUCAGAAGUGCGAAUGCUGACAUAAGUAACGAUAAAGCGGGUGAAAAGCCCGCUCGCCGGAAGACCAAGGGUUCCUGUCCAACGUUAAUCGGGGCAGGGUGAGUCGACCCCUAAGGCGAGGCCGAAAGGCGUAGUCGAUGGGAAACAGGUUAAUAUUCCUGUACUUGGUGUUACUGCGAAGGGGGGACGGAGAAGGCUAUGUUGGCCGGGCGACGGUUGUCCCGGUU
rnacentral:rRNA from 1 species